GCUGUUUAUUCUGACUAAGCUAUGCCGUUAUAAUUAUUAUAUAACCCUGUUUAAUAUAUAACAGGAUAUAGGGAAUGCGUUCUUUCAGUAUGUUCUACAUUAGCUAUAAUUAUGGACUUUACGAUAAAGCUAACAGACUGCUUCACUGCUUAAGUCGAGCCAUAGUGAUCGACCGAUACUAUUAUAGCUGUGAGUAAAAUAAUUUUAUUGUUCUUGCUAGUGCUACUGGUAUACCCUCCUCAAUGGGACAGAACUGUUCAGAGCAAUGCUGUUACUGGUAUAAGCAAGUAUCGCGCAACUAUAGUGACUGCCAUGUGUCAUACAAUGGAACUGCUGUCUUAACAUGUGAAGUAUAUGCUCCACGUGAUAGUAGCAACAAUUCAUUGGCAACAGUAAAAUGGUACAGAAACAACGAAUCUGUGAUCGAGAAUGUCACUGAUAGAAAUGAAAAUUCCAAAACGUCAACUAAAAAUGAAUUUAAUUCGUCUAACACUUCAAUGAAUGGACUCUUUGAAGACAGAUAUCAACUAAUCAUUCGUAAUGUCAAUUUUUCAGACAGUGGUGUUUACUGGUGUCAACUUUCAGCUGACGGAUUUUGCUUCAUCCCAUCAGUGUAUGUGAAUAUUACUUUCAAUACAAGCUCUGGUUGUUUAGAAUAUAAUUAUCAGCAAAGUCCAGUUUGCGCAGUAGACAAUUCUCCAUACUGUCAAGUAACACCAACUCCUCCUUUUGUGAACAAUUCCACUCCUACAGUUAUGGCCAACAUUUUGUUAACUAGUUCACUGAUAUCAAUGUCUCCUCAAAUCCCACAUCACCAACCAACUGAAGAGUUGGUUGGUUCAUUAUCAUUCAUCAUUGUUCUGCUAGCUGCAUGUGAUGCUACUCGUCACUAUUUCAAUAUUUGCAUUGGCCUGGACGAGACGAGAUAAGAAGAACCAGUGUGAAACUUGCAGAAAUAAAGGAGCUGCUACAAUAUUGACGGAACAUCCAAAUGAUGGUGGACCAGUUGAGGAUCCUUACCACUCUCUGCCAAAUUCAUCUCAAAUAACAAACCUGGCUACUACCCCAGCCAAAAACAAAACACAGUCGUACGAGGCAAUUGACAUAACGAAAGUGGACUAUAUUAGUGUGUAUAGUGUACCGAAUGAACUUUAAAAAAAACACUUUUGGAGGUGUACAUGUUCCGUGGUUCGAUUGAACUCCUACUUAGUUAUAGAUUUACAACACUCCCAUACUCUUUAGCAAUCAUUUUGUACCGAAGGCCUUAUUGUGUGUGUUUACCACGAGGUACAUACGUAGAGAUAUCUGACAA